AUUGAACGCUGGCGGCAGGCCUAACACAUGCAAGUCGAGCGGAUGAAGGGAUCUUGCUCCUGGAUUCAGCGGCGGACGGGUGAGUAAUGCCUAGGAAUCUGCCUGGUAGUGGGGGAUAACGUCCGGAAACGGGCGCUAAUACCGCAUACGUCCUGAGGGAGAAAGUGGGGGAUCUUCGGACCUCACGCUAUCAGAUGAGCCUAGGUCGGAUUAGCUAGUUGGUGGGGUAAAGGCCUACCAAGGCGACGAUCCGUAACUGGUCUGAGAGGAUGAUCAGUCACACUGGAACUUAGACACGGUCCAGACUCCUACGGGAGGCAGCAGUGGGGAAUAUUGGACAACGGGCGAAAGCCUGAUCCAGCCAUGCCGCGUGUGUGAAGAAGGUCUUCGGAUUGUAAAGCACUUUAAGUUGGGAGGAAGGGCAGUAAGUUAAGACCUUGCUGUUUUGACGUUACCAACAGAAUAAGCACCGGCUAACUUCGUG
rnacentral:rRNA from 1 species